rnacentral:rRNA from 1 species
CUCCGUAGGUGAACCUGCGGAGGGAUCAUUACACAAAUAUGAAGGCGGGCUGGAACCUCUCGGGGUUACAGCCUUGCUGAAUUAUUCACCCUUGUCUUUUGCGUACUUCUUGUUUCCUUGGUGGGUUCGCCCACCACUAGGACAAACAUAAACCUUUUGUAAUUGCAAUCAGCGUCAGUAACAAAUUAAUAAUUACAACUUUCAACAACGGAUCUCUUGGCUCUGGCAUCGAUGAAGAACGCAGCGAAAUGCGAUAAGUAGUGUGAAUUGCAGAAUUCAGUGAAUCAUCGAAUCUUUGAACGCACAUUGCGCCCUUUGGUAUUCCAAAGGGCAUGCCUGUUCGAGCGUCAUUUGUACCCUCAAGCUUUGCUUGGUGUUGGGCGUCUUGUCUCUAGCUUUGCUGGAGACUCGCCUUAAAGUAAUUGGCAGCCGGCCUACUGGUUUCGGAGCGCAGCACAAGUCGCACUCUCUAUCAGCAAAGGUCUAGCAUCCAUUAAGCCUUUUUUUCAACUUUUGACCUCGGAUCAGGUAGGGAUACCCGCUGAACUUAAGCAUAUCA